ensembl:lncRNA
CUUCCGAAAAGCUUUUGUUUUGUCCCUUUCAGUGCAGAUUCAGUGAGGGCGGGUGUUGAUUAUUUGCUCAACUCUUUUUUGUUCCUCUGCUGCAAUAAAACUGAAGAGAUGCAGACGCAGUGAAAGCUAGCGAUGCACGGCCUAUGGUUUCAUAUCUGCCAAGUCAGAACAGAAAGGUUUCUGUGGGCAGGAACUCAAAUGGCAUUGAGUUUUACUUGUAAAGACACUUUGAAAGCAGACUUCGAUGUUUGAUGCCAAAGCUCGGGAGUAAUUAUGACGAAUUAUCACGUAUGAUGGCUUGAAGUUUUGGAAGUCACAGGUUGUCACACACCGCAACUGGAGCCUGUAAAGCAAAACUGCCUGUUUUUUUUUGUUGUUGUUCCCUUUUUUGUGAUGACACUGAUUGAUGAUUUGAAAUAUGAACUAACUUUUUUUUUUUUUAUCGCCGCUUUUGUUGCAUGUUCGUCCGACUUUUAUAAGCGUCUUUCAUGUUUAUCAACACCGGCAGGGGGCUGUCAUUGCAAAAAUAAAUGCCGCAUAUCUCCCUGCCGCUUUUACUAUAAGACCCAAUGAAAUAAAUAAUCCUCCAUAAAAUAAAAAAUGAUUAAAAGGGUUGCGUUUCAUUGCGAAAGCGAGCGUCGUGACAUUUACGGUGCUUGUGUAAAGUUGUAUCGAGCGGCAUAAAAAGUGCCGGACUCGUCUGCCAGAGUCCAUUUGAAAGUUACGAGCUUAGAAAACACUGGGCCUCCUAAUUAAACACCCAAUCAGGAGCUCUGAUAUUAAUGGAGUCCACUUAGCUCUCCAUGCUUUGUCUUUCUGCUAAUCUACACGAUCAGUUUUUUCCCCUGCUUGCCUCUUCUUCUGCUUGUGUCUUUCUCUUUUCUUUUUUUUUUUACUGCAAGCGUGUGUUAGCAUGUACAGUACAAUAUGUGUGGGUGCAUCAGCUGCACGUGUGUGAAAGUGGGUGCACGUGUGCGUGGCUUCUGGAGGACUUCUCUGCAGUGUCUAACAGCUCGGUGGCAGCGAUUUUUCAUGGAUUACUACCUCUGCUGCAAAAAACACCCAAAACAUCCACACAUGAAGAGCAAAAAGACUAAGAGCUGAAUGAAAACACUAAUCUCUUCUCUGUUUGAUCUUGAUUAAACAUCUUGCCAGAUUUGUACGAUUAUGGUAAUCACAGCGACUUUUGAUUUUGGCAGAGGGAGGGAGGGGAAGAAC